rnacentral:rRNA from 1 species
GGCUCCUUGCUGUAUAUACAUAAGGAGUCGGACCUGCCCGGUGAAAAAUUUUAACGGCCGCGGUACUCUGACCGUGCAAAGGUAGCAUAAUCACUUGCCUUAUAAUUGAAGGCUAGUAUGAAUGGUUUGACGAAAGCACUGCUGUCUCUUUUUUACUAUAUAGAAAUUAACAUUCAGGUGAAGAGGCCUGAUUGAAAUUAAAGGACGAGAAGACCCUGUCGAGCUUCAAGGGAAAUCAGGAAAAUCUUAUAUUUAUAGAUAAAAAACCUUUUUUACCUUUUGGUUGGGGCGACUAGGGAACAAUAAAAGCUUCCCCUAUUUAUAAAACUUUUUUGUUAGGAUCCAGCAUUCUUGCUGAUUGAAAGAAUUAGUUACCGCAGGGAUAACAGCAUAAUCCUUCUUGAGAGACCUAAUCGAAAGAAGGGGUUGUGACCUCGAUGUUGGACUAGGAUAUCCUAAGGGUGCAGAAGCCUUUGAGGGUUGGUCUGUUCGACCGUUAAAAUCCUACG